CCGGCGCGAGCUCCGGGGGAACCAACGGCUGAGACAAAGGGGUGAGGUCGUCGGCAGCAGGUAGGCCAAUCUCCCACAGUGCAACUCUCUCUUCAUCUCCGUUGGCUUCGCACUCCCUCAUCUUCACUUCCUCUCCCAUAAUUUACACUCUCCAAAGUCCCCAAAUUUGAUCAGUAGAAUUGGAUCAAAGUCAGACAAAGAAGCGGAGAUAUUUCUGGGGUCUGUUUGGAUGGAAGGAAACGAAAAGAAAAUGGUAUAAAAAAUUUUUU
rnacentral:misc_RNA from 1 species